rnacentral:rRNA from 1 species
CGCGAAUGGCUCAUUACAUCAGUUAUGGUUCCUUAGAUCGUACCCACAUUACUUGGAUAACUGUGGUAAUUCUAGAGCUAAUACAUGCAAAUAGAGUUCCGACCAGAGAUGGAAGGAAUGCUUUUAUUAGAUCAAAACCAAUCGGUGGCGGGCUUGCCUUGCUCACCGUUUGACUUGGUGACUCUGAAUAACUUUGUGCUGAUCGCACGGUCUCGUACCGGCGACGCAUCUUUCAAAUGUCUGCCUUAUCAACUGUCGAUGGUAGUUUCUGCGACUACCAUGGUUGUUACGGGUAACGGGGAAUCAGGGUUCGAUUCCGGAGAGGGAGCCUGAGAAACGGCUACCACAUCCAAGGAAGGCAGCAGGCGCGCAAAUUACCCACUCCCGGCACGGGGAGGUAGUGACGAAAAAUAACGAUACGGGACUCAUCCGAGGCCCCGUAAUCGGAAUGAGUACACUUUAAAUCCUUUCACGAUUAACAAUUGGAGGGCAAGCCUGGUGCCAGCAGCCGCGGUAACUCCAGCUCCAAUAGCGUAUAUUAAAGUUGUUGCGGUUAAAAAGCUCGUAGUUGAAUCUGUGUCCCACACUGUCGGUUCACCGCUCGCGGUGUCCAACUGGCAUGUCUGUGGGACGUCCUACCGGUGGGCGCAGCCCGUCAAAAGGCGGCCCAACUCAAAAUCCUACCACGGUGCUCUUCACCGAGUGUCGAGG